CGGCUGAGGGANUAAUGCGNGACCGACCUGCCCCAUGNNCNGGAAUAGCUCCUGGAAACGGGUGGUAAUGCCGGAUGCUCCANCACUGCGCAUGGCGGUGNUGGGAAAGCUUUUGCGGCAUGGGAUGGGGUCGCGUCCUAUCAGCUUGACGGCGGGGUAACGGCCCACCGUGGCUUCGACGGGUAGCCGGCCUGAGAGGGCGACCGGCCACAUUGGGACUGAGAUACGGCCCAGACUCCUACGGGAGGCAGCAGUGGGGAAUAUUGCACAAUGGGCGCAAGCCUGAUGCAGCGACGCCGCGUGAGGGAUGGAGGCCUUCGGGUUGUAAACCUCUUUUAGCAGGGAGCAAGCGUUAAGNUGAGUGUACCUGUUGAAUAAGCACCGGCUAACUACGUGCCAGCAGCCGCGGUAAUACGUAGGGUGCAAGCGUUAUCCGGAAUUAUUGGGCGUAAAGGGCUCGUAGGCGGUUCGUCGCGUCCGGUGUGAAAGUCCAUCGCUUAACGGUGGAUCCGCGCCGGGUACGGGCGGGCNUGAGUGCGGUAGGGGAGACUGGAAUUCCCNGNGUAACGGUGGAAUGUGUAGAUAUCGGGAAGAACACCNAUGGCGAAGGCAGGUCUCUGGGCCGUUACUGACGCUGAGGAGCGAAAGCGUGGGGAGCGAACAGGAUUAGAUACCCUGGUAGUCCACGCCGUAAACGGUGGAUGCUGGAUGUGGGGCACGUUCCACGUGUUCCGUGUCGGAGCCAACGCGUUAAGCAUCCCGCCUGGGGAGUACGGCCGCAAGGCUAAAACUCAAAGAAAUUGACGGGGGCCCGCACAAGCGGCGGAGCAUGCGGAUUAAUUCGAUGCAACGCGAAGAACCUUACCUGGGCUUGACAUGUUCCCGACAGUGGCAGAGAUGUCACCUCCCUUCGGGGCGGGUUCACAGGUGGUGCAUGGUCGUCGUCAGCUCGUGUCGUGAGAUGUUGGGUUAAGUCCCGCAACGAGCGCAACCCUCGCCCCGUGUUGCCAGCGGAUUAUGCCGGGAACUCACGGGGGACCGCCGGGGUUAACUCGGAGGAAGGUGGGGAUGACGUCAGAUCAUCAUGCCCCUUACGUCCAGGGCUUCACGCAUGCUACAAUGGCCGGUACAACGGGAUGCGACAAGGCGACUUGGAGCGGAUCCCUGAAAACCGGUCUCAGUUCGGAUCGCAGUCUGCAACUCGACUGCGUNAAGGCGGAGUCGCUAGUAAUCGCGAAUCAGCAACGUCGCGGUGAAUGCGUUNNCGGGCCUUGUACACACC
rnacentral:rRNA from 1 species